UAUUUGUUUCCUAGUUGAUACAAUUAACGAUAAAUUGGUGAAAAUAUUAUCACCUCGAAGCAGAAAAUCAUUGACUUCAAAUUCAAUUAAAAAAACGUCAUUCAAAUCUUUGCAAUCUCAUGAAAUGUUUGGUUUCUCAUCGACAUUCAAUCACAAUUCUGAUUCAAUUGUAUUCGGAAUUCCUGGUUUUGAUAUUUUCCGUGGAGCAAUAUUAUCACUAACCAACAAUUUAAAUCACCAACAAUCAGCAAACAUAACAGUAAACACAAUUAAAGAAUUGGAUCAAGAUUCUUACCUUGGUUAUUCAUUAGCAACUGGAAUCUUUUUCAAAUCGAGAGUUGAGUUAAUUGUUGUUGGUGCUCCAAGAGGAAAACAAUUAAAAGGCCAAGUUAUCAUCAUGUCACCAAAUUCAGAUGAUUAU